rnacentral:lncRNA from 1 species
UUAAAAUCUAUGUUGAACUUCAUAUUGCUAGCUUCUUAAAUGGGCACACUUUAGAUAGUAAUGGAAAAUUCUCUGGGUAAAAAACUUUUUUGUGCGUUUAUGAUAGGAAGCAGGAAAGGGCAACAGUGUUCUGACCUAUUUUUGAAAUAAAGCUUUGCUCUAUAAAAAAAAACUUGCUGAUUCAUUCUAUCUGUCACUUAGCCAAGACUAAUUAUUGUCUUCUGUGUGCCAAGAACUACAGAGAAUCCACAGAGAUGAGCAAGAAAUGGUUCUUCUUUAAUAGGAGUUUAUUUCCUAGUAAGUAGAAUCACAAAGGAAGUAAAUGUGACAAAGUAUUCUAGAUGUUACAGUAGAAAUAUAAACUAAGAAGGUAUGGGUAUGGUUAAUUUCUACCCCAAAGUCAAGCUUCUUGCAAAAGCAAUGGUAGUGGAUAACUAUGAUAAUGAACACAUUUUCACCAAGAAGAUUACUACUUCUGUCUUAAUAAAGAUGUCAUAUUAUUGGAUCCCUGAUAACUGGAUUCCUGCAUUAUCAACUCUAACAGGAGCUCUUUUUGUGCUGUGCCUCUAUGCCGUUGCAUGGUGCCUCUUCAAAGAUUCUCCUGUUUGUUCAAGAUUAUUUCCCCACUGCCACAAACAUCACCAGAGCCAACCAAGUCUCACAACCAAAGGACCUGGUGUAGUACCAAGAUUUUUUUGUGCAGAGAAGUUAUGUGUAUCAUCUCUGGGGUCUCUAUGUAAAUAAUAUACAAAACCCUGUAACUCAAGGCCUUACAUUAACAAAAAAUACUAAAAACUCAUUAAAAAUGAAACCUGAGGGAAGUUCCCCAAUCACUCCUGGUGCUGGCCUGAAAAGGGGAUUGGGAAUAAAGAGGAAUGAAAAGGAAAGGCCACAUCUGUGUCACAAUUCCCUAACUCCGGGACCAGGAAUGGGGUGGGGGAGAAGCUGCCUUUUGCUGCCAUUGCUGCCAGUGCUGCUGCUGCCACCAGACAUGGUCCUGUUGCUGCUGUUUCUGCUGCUGCUUUUGCUCAGGUGAGAUGAAAAUUGAUUGAAUGCCUGAAGGAGAAUCCUGCACUAUAUAGCUCCAUAGUAUACACAUGGCCAUGAACAGGCUGAGGAGAACACAGACCCAUAGAUUCAUUGGCUCACUCUAGUGAACUCAGCUGUUCCCUGUCAACCAUCCUCUGAGCAUCCCCACGGUCACUUUUUGUUUUUUGAAACGAAGUCUUGCUAUGUCACCCAGGCUGGAGUGCAGUGGCGUUACCUUGGCUCACUGCAACCUCUGCCUCCUGGGUUCAAGCAAUUCUCCUGCCUCAGCCUCCGAGUAGCUGGGACUACUACCAGUGGUGUGGGCCACCACACCCGGCUAUUGUUUUGUAUUUUUAGUAGAGGUGGGGUUUUACCAUGUUAGCCAGGAUGGUCUCAGACUCCUGACCUUGUUAUCUGCCUGCCUCUGCCUCCCAAAGUGCUGGAAUUACAGGCGUGAAUCACUAUGCUCAGCCCCAUGGUCACUUUUAUCUCUGCCUGUUGCAAGGCUGAUGGUCCCAGAGGUGGGGAUAGGACACCCUGAGUAUUCAGUGGAGUCACAGUUCCGAUGAAUGUUCACCACAGUGUCUUGUAAAAUCUUUGAGGGGACCUCAGACUGUACUUACAGGUUAAGACCUGCUGGUACAUAUAGCCACUGAGCCACUGCUGCAGGUGGCACAUGGAUCUACA